rnacentral:rRNA from 1 species
CAGCAGCCGCGGUAAUACGUAGGGUGCGAGCGUUAAUCGGAAUUACUGGGCGUAAAGCGUGCGCAGGCGGUUAUAUAAGACAGAUGUGAAAUCCCCGGGCUCAACCUGGGACCUGCAUUUGUGACUGUAUAGCUAGAGUAUGGCAGAGGGGGGUGGAAUUCCGCGUGUAGCAGUGAAAUGCGUAGAUAUGCGGAGGAACACCGAUGGCGAAGGCAGCCCCCUGGGCCAAUACUGACGCUCAUGCACGAAAGCGUGGGGAGCAAACAGGAUUAGAUACCCCCGUAGUCCCUGUCUCUUAUAA